rnacentral:rRNA from 1 species
UUAAUGAGAGUUUGAUCCUGGCUCAGGACGAACGCUGGCGGCGUGCCUAAUACAUGCAAGUAGAACGCUGAGGUUUGGUGUUUACACUAGACUGAUGAGUUGCGAACGGGUGAGUAACGCGUAGGUAACCUGCCUCAUAGCGGGGGAUAACUAUUGGAAACGAUAGCUAAUACCGCAUAAGAGUAAUUAACACAUGUUAGUUAUUUAAAAGGAGCAAUUGCUUCACUGUGAGAUGGACCUGCGUUGUAUUAGCUAGUUGGUGAGGUAAAGGCUCACCAAGGCGACGAUACAUAGCCGACCUGAGAGGGUGAUCGGCCACACUGGGACUGAGACACGGCCCAGACUCCUACGGGAGGCAGCAGUAGGGAAUCUUCGGCAAUGGACGGAAGUCUGACCGAGCAACGCCGCGUGAGUGAAGAAGGUUUUCGGAUCGUAAAGCUCUGUUGUUAGAGAAGAACGUUGGUAGGAGUGGAAAAUCUACCAAGUGACGGUAACUAACCAGAAAGGGACGGCUAACUACGUGCCAGCAGCCGCGGUAAUACGUAGGUCCCGAGCGUUGUCCGGAUUUAUUGGGCGUAAAGCGAGCGCAGGCGGUUCUUUAAGUCUGAAGUUAAAGGCAGUGGCU